UGCGUCUGUUUCUUCUUCCCACUCUUCUUCCCCUUCUUUUUUCGUUUCUUUUUCUUUGUUUUCUUCAGGCAGGUCGAGAGGGUUUCUUGGUGGUGGUGGUGAUGUAGGAAUAAAAAAAGGAGAGGCGGUUAUGGAAGGAGAAAGAGAAGAAUUAGGAGAAGAAAAG
rnacentral:ribozyme from 13 species